rnacentral:rRNA from 1 species
AAAGGAAUAGACGGGGGCCCGCACAAGCAGUGGAGUAUGUGGUUUAAUUCGAAGCAACGCGAAGAACCUUACCAGGUCUUGACAUCGAGUGACGAGUGUAGAGAUACACUUUUCCUUCGGGACACGAAGACAGGUGGUGCAUGGUUGUCGUCAGCUCGUGUCGUGAGAUGUUGGGUUAAGUCCCGCAACGAGCGCAACCCUUACCAUUAGUUGCUACGCAAGAGCACUCUAAUGGGACUGCCGUUGACAAAACGGAGGAAGGUGGGGAUGACGUCAAAUCAUCAUGCCCCUUAUGACCUGGGCCACACACGUACUACAAUGGCCGUCAACAGAGGGAAGCAAAACCGCGAGGUAGAGCAAACCCCUAAAAACGGUCUCAGUUCGGAUCGCAGGCUGCAACCCGCCUGCGUGAAGCCGGAAUUGCUAGUAAUCGCGGAUCAGCAUGCCGCGGUGAAUACGUUCCCGGGCCUUGUACACACCGCCCGU